rnacentral:rRNA from 1 species
CCUACGGGAGGCAGCAGUGGGGAAUUUUGGACAAUGGGCGCAAGCCUGAUCCAGCCAUGCCGCGUGUGGGAAGAAGGCCUUCGGGUUGUAAACCACUUUUGUCAGGGAAGAAACGGCCUUUUCUAAUACAGAGGGCUAAUGACGGUACCUGAAGAAUAAGCACCGGCUAACUACGUGCCAGCAGCCGCGGUAAUACGUAGGGUGCAAGCGUUAAUCGGAAUUACUGGGCGUAAAGCGUGCGCAGGCGGCUUUGCAAGACAGAUGUGAAAUCCCCGGGCUCAACCUGGGAACUGCAUUUGUGACUGCAUGGCUAGAGUACGGUAGAGGGGGAUGGAAUUCCGCGUGUAGCAGUGAAAUGCGUAGAUAUGCGGAGGAACACCGAUGGCGAAGGCAAUCCCCUGGACCUGUACUGACGCUCAUGCACGAAAGCGUGGGGAGCAAACAGGAUUAGAUACCCUGGUAGUCCACGCCCUAAACGAUGUCAACUGGUUGUUGGACGGCUUGCUGUUCAGUAACGAAGCUAACGCGUGAAGUUGACCGCCUGGGGAGUACGGCCGCAAGGUUGAAACUUAAAGGAAUUGACGG